UUUCCGUAGGUGAACCUGCGGAAGGAUCAUUACAACAAGGUUCCCUGGCCCUCGAAGCUUCGGCGGAGGGGUGCUACAGCCUGACUUUAUACCCACCCUUUGCCUAUGUGUACCCCUAUUGCUUCCCUCGGCGGGUUCGCCCGCCGACAGGAACCAACUAAACCCUUUGCAUUAUACAUUUAACACUUCCGAUACAAAACUAAAUUAUUACAACUUUUAACAAUGGAUCUCUUGGUUCUG
rnacentral:misc_RNA from 1 species